rnacentral:rRNA from 1 species
CCUACGGGAGGCAGCAGUGAGGAAUAUUGGUCAAUGGGCGCGAGCCUGAACCAGCCAAGUAGCGUGAAGGAUGACUGCCCUACGGGUUGUAAACUUCUUUUAUCAAGGAAUACAGUGAGGCACGUGUGCCUUUUUGUAUGUACUUUAUGAAUAAGGAUCGGCUAACUCCGUCCCAGCAGCCGCGGUAAGACGGAGGAUCCGAGCGUUAUCCGGAUUUUUUGGGUUUAAAGGGAGCGGAGAUGGGUUGUUAAGUCAGUUGUGAAAGUGUGCGGCUCAACCGUAAAAUUGCAAUUGAUACUGGCAGCCUUGAGUACAGUUGAGGUAGGCGGAAUUCGUGGUGUAGCGGUGAAAUGCUUAGAUAUCACGAAGAACUCCGAUUGCGAAGGCAGCCUACUAAACUGCCACUGACAUUGAUGCUCGAAAGUGUGGGUAUCAAACAGGAUUAGAUACCCUUGUAGUC